UGUAAGUGUGCAUUAGUACAUGCUAACGAUAUUCAAAAAGUACAUACCUCAAAGAAAACGAUGACGCGAGUUAUCGUCUCUAACGUUCGAGGACUACAAAAAACACUCGGAUUGUAGGCAACAGUUUACUUCCUGGGAUUAGUGACGUAGAUAAGACCAACAUUAUCAUAGUUCAGCCCUCUCUGCUUUGCUUGGGUACGCCCUCAAAGACGAGGGUGGGGAGCGCCGAGUCAGAAGAGAGCUAAAAUGGCGGAGGUUGGGAGUCCCUGCUUUUACUCUGUUUGCAAACUCUUGUUUCAUUGUUUAAGCGAUUAAAUCUCUCGAGUAGACGCUGUGUCUUUAGAUGCGAGGGCAAAAUAGCACUUUAUGGACUUACACAGAGGACAUCAUGUUUAAUACGGUUCCGGAAAAAUCCAGUCAGAAGUUGUUCACGGAGUUUUCACAAUAACUGCUUCUCAUGAACCAAAGCUGGAUUUGCGCGAGGUCUCCUCUUGAAAGUUGGAUUACUGUGCACUUCUGGAUCACAGGCUAUUCGCAGCUGUACACAUCCUUCUACACUGUAUGCAAACAUGCAACAUCAUAACACACAGUACAAGGAGUCAGACUGGCAUAUGAGGAGCAAAGGAACCCAGGCAGUAGCAUCGUUUCACAAUGUUUCCAUCACCAUCAUCAGAUUUCAGAUUUGCAGCAAAAUUUUUUUGCUUUUCUCAUUUAUUGGAAUGCUGUGCAGGUAUUUGUACCUUGCAGCCAUCCAUUACAAUGUCACCAAGCCGUAACAAAAGCAGGAGGGAAAGUACAAGGCUAUGUUCCCAAAACACACAAGUGACAUACCUUAUGUGGAGGAUGUGAUCAGGCUUGUGUUUGAUGAGGUAUUUGAAGAUAAGCUGAAGGAAACCCCGAUUCCAAUGGACCUGGCAUCACAGUUUGAGAGACCUUCAAAGGAGGACGUGAUUGCAUGCCAUCUUCAGUG